CCACUGUGUUGCGGUCAACGCCAUGAAUUUGGAAGGCUUUGGACAUAUUUUUUAGUCGCUGGUAUGUAAGUAGGAUCUUCUUGUAACGGAAAAGCACUCCAGCAGCAUCUUUCACUGAAGAAGAAAAACACACAGUGACAGAUAGGAUAGCUGCCAGUCCCCUACAUGGAUUAACCACUGGUGAAACUGUUGGACAUGUUAUUAACUCACACCUGCCCCCUGUCCUCACCAUUACUGUAUUGGCUCUGACUCUGCUCCUGUCCUUGGCUCUUUGUGGAAAAGAUGAAGCGGUCCAGCUGGCAACGGAGGAAGUCCCUCUCCUCUUCCAAGUCCUCAAUUCUUUUCUGCAGCCAAGAGUUUUUCUCCAGAGAGAUCUGCAGCUGGGUCCGCAGGUUGGUGAUCACCAUGUAGGAAUUGUUGACUGGAGAUGGUCCA